UACGGAGGGGGCGAGCGUUAUUCGGAAUUAUUGGGCGUAAAGAGCUCGUAGGCGGUUUGUCGCGUCUGCUGUGAAAGACCGGGGCUCAACUCCGGUUCUGCAGUGGGUACGGGCAGACUAGAGUGCAGUAGGGGAGACUGGAAUUCCUGGUGUAGCGGUGAAAUGCGCAGAUAUCAGGAGGAACACCGAUGGCGAAGGCAGGUCUCUGGGCUGUAACUGACGCUGAGGAGCGAAAGCAUGGGGAGCGAACAGG
rnacentral:rRNA from 1 species